rnacentral:tRNA from 1 species
AGUGGUUAAGCAUUUGGCUGCUAACCAAAAGUCAGUGGUUUGAAUCCACCAGCCACUC